GUUCUUUCCAAGACCCUGUCCAUCUAGCCGUUGCGAGCACCCUCCGUCUUCCCAGUAAGCUCCCAAUAACAUAGGCUGAGCUUCCCAUCCUAGCGCUUGGGUUUUCAGAAAGGGCAGAAGGCCAAGCACAUGGAAAGCUCCAGGCGGCCCAGCAGGAGGAGAGGGCAAAGGCCCCGGGACCCUCCUGAGAAAGUCUGCAGAGGAAACAGGACACAGAGCGGACCACGGCGGCAGGAACGUCAGCUGAGCUCCGAGAGGCUGGAAGCACGGAGCGGGAAGUGGCACUUCCCCUGCGUUUUUAUGUUUAGCUGGGGUUUAAUUAAUAACCGGCAAACAAGUCUAUAAUUAACUCGGUUUCCCUUUUGGCCAGCCAAGGGAAUAAUAAUAAAGCUGCUUUUUAAGUCCUCCGUGGUGCUGGA
rnacentral:lncRNA from 1 species